rnacentral:rRNA from 1 species
GAUGAACGCUGGCGGCGUGCUUAACACAUGCAAGUCGAACGGAACUACUCCAAUGAGAGUCUUCGGAAAGGAUUUGGUUUAGUUUAGUGGCGGACGGGUGAGUAACGCGUGGGUAACCUGCCCUAUACAGGGGGAUAACAGUUGGAAACGACUGUUAAUACCGCAUAAGCGCACAGGAGCGCAUGCUCCGGUGUGAAAAACUCCGGUGGUAUAGGAUGGACCCGCGUCUGAUUAGCUGGUUGGCGGGGUAACGGCCCACCAAGGCGACGAUCAGUAGCCGGCCUGAGAGGGUGAACGGCCACAUUGGGACUGAGACACGGCCCAAACUCCUACGGGAAGCAGCAGUGGGGAAUAUUGCACAAUGGGGGAAACCCUGAUGCAGCGACGCCGCGUGAGCGAAGAAGUAUCUCGGUAUGUAAAGCUCUAUCAGCAGGGAAGAAAAUGACGGUACCUGACGAAGAAGCCCCGGCUAACUACGUG